rnacentral:rRNA from 1 species
GACGAACCGUGCGAACGUUGUUCGGAAUCACUGGGCUUAAAGGGAGCGUAGGCGGGCUAUCAAGUCUGGGGUGAAAUCCCGCGGCUCAACCGCGGAACUGCCUCAGAUACUGACGGCCUCGAGGGAGAUAGGGGGCAUGCGGAACUGUAGGUGGAGCGGUGAAAUGCGUUGAUAUCUACAGGAACUCCGGUGGCGAAAGCGGCGUGCUGGAUCUCUUCUGACGCUGAGGCUCGAAAGCUAGGGGGAGCAAACGGG